CCUACGGGAGGCAGCAGUGGGGAAUAUUGGACAAUGGGGGGAACCCUGAUCCAGCCAUGCCGCGUGUGUGAAGAAGGCCCUCGGGUUGUAAAGCACUUUCAGUGAGGAAGAACGCCUGGUGGUUAAUACCCAUCAGGAAAGACAUCACUCACAGAAGAAGCACCGGCUAACUCCGUGCCAGCAGCCGCGGUAAUACGGAGGGUGCGAGCGUUAAUCGGAAUUACUGGGCGUAAAGCGCGCGUAGGUGGCUUGAUAAGCCGGUUGUGAAAGCCCCGGGCUCAACCUGGGAACGGCAUCCGGAACUGUCAAGCUAGAGUGCAGGAGAGGAAGGUAGAAUUCCCGGGGUAGCGGUGAAAUGCGUAGAGAUCGGGAGGAAUACCAGUGGCGAAGGCGGCCUUCUGGACUGACACUGACACUGAGGUGCGAAAGCGUGGGUAGCAAACAGGAUUAGAUACCCUAGUAGUC
rnacentral:rRNA from 1 species